rnacentral:rRNA from 1 species
CGCGUAGGCGGUCUUGUAAGUCGGAUGUGAACGCCCGGGGCUCAACCCCGGAAGUGCAUUUGAUACUGCGAGACUUGAGUAUGGGAGGGGGAAGUGGAAUUCCUGGUGUAGAGGUGAAAUUCGUAGAUAUCAGGAGGAACACCAGUGGCGAAGGCGACUUCCUGGACCAAUACUGACGCUGAUGCGCGAAGGCGUGGGGAGCAAACA